GGGUGUAUGGAAUAGGGUGUAUGGUGUAGGGUGUAGGGAGUAUGGAGUAGGGUGUAGGGUGUAUGGUGUAGGGUGUAGGGAGUAUGGUGUAGGGAGUAUGGUGUAGGGUGUAGGGUGUAUGGUGUAGGGAGUAUGGUGUAGGGUGUAGGGUGUAUGGUGUAGGUGUAGGGAGUAUGGUGUAGGGAGUAUGGUGUAGGGUGUAGGGUGUAUGGUGUAGGGUGUAGGGUGUAUGGUGUAGGGUGUAGGGUGUAGGGAGUAUGGUGUAGGGAGUAUGGUGUAGGGUGUAGGGAGUAUGGUGUAG
ensembl:lncRNA